rnacentral:lncRNA from 1 species
AGAAGAUGUAUUUUUUUUUCUUUCUGAAUUUGUAAGUUACCAAUUAUAUCUUUUUCCUUAAAUGUUUUAAAAUUUCAAUUAAAGCAGGGUGCCCAUUCAUAAUCUCUAAUUCUGUUGUUAGGAAUUCUCAUUUAGCACUCAAACAAUGUAGACAUUGAAUGCUCCCCAUUUCUUUAAUUAAAGCCCCUGCACAGUUUUGAGUUGAAUUAACACAGUUAUCAAACAAAACCAGCUGGAGUUUAAAAAAAAAAAAAAAGAAGCUGUUUUUCUAACCAUUUCCUUCAUUCUUGAACUAGGUUUUGGAUGAGUGGCAGGGGAGACAACUGAGUGUUAAUGAACUGAAUGAAUGCUGGUACAUUAACAGACUGAAUAGUACCAGUGCUAGUAUAGUGGUGCAUGCCUUUAAUCACCUUUAGUUCUAGCACUCAGAAGGUAAAGGCAGGAGGAUCUCUGUGACUUCAAGACUAGCCUGGUUUAGAUAGAGCCUUCCAGGACAGCAAAGGUUACUAAGAGAGAGACCCUGUCAAAUCAAAACAAAACAAAACAAAAAACAAAUAAUGUUUGGAAACCAAAGUGCUUUUAAAGUAAACAAACAAAUGACUAUAUUGAACCAAGAGCCCUGAAAGCAAACCAUAAAAGGUAGCCAGCAAUUCAAAUCCUAAACCUCCAUCUCACUGAAUAAACCACUGAACCAACAAUCAAACCAAUAAUAAGGUUUGAACAUCGCAAGGAAUUCACCAGCCUCUACUCAUGAAGCCAGUGCCAUGCAAUAGAUACAAAGUGAAUGAAAAAAAUAAAAUAAAAAGGAAGGAUAUGACUGCUUCUAAGUAUAGUGGAUAAGAAAGUUUAUUGUAGAUAAAAGGAGAGAGCAUAGCCAAAGGUAGAGACAUUUAGGAGAGUCCAGAGGGGACAUGUCUAGGUUGAGCCAGACCAUGU